rnacentral:rRNA from 1 species
GAGUUUGAUCAUGGNUCAGAAUGAACGCUGGCGGCGUGCAUAACACAUGCAAGUCGAACGAGAAACUCCGGGCUUGCUCGGGGGAGUAAAGUGGCGCACGGGUGAGUAGCGCGUGGGUAACGUACCCCUGAAUCUGGAAUAACCCAUCGAAAGGUGGACUAAUACCGGAUAUUGUUCCGGAGUCGCAUGGCUCUGGAAUGAAAGGUGACCUCUUCAUGAAAGUUGCCGUUUGGGGAGCGGCUCGCGUACCAUUAGCUAGUUGGUAGGGUAAUGGCCUACCAAGGCGACGAUGGUUAGCUGGUCUGAGAGGAUGAUCAGCCACACUGGAACUGGAACACGGUCCAGACUCCUACGGGAGGCAGCAGUGAGGAAUUUUGCGCAAUAGGGGAAACCCUGACGCAGCAACGCCGCGUGAGUGAAGAAGGCCUUCGGGUCGUAAAGCUCUGUCAAGUGGGAAAAAACGCAGUCGGUGAAUAGCCGGCUGAAUUGAUGGUACCACUAGAGGAAGCACCGGCUAACUCCGUGCCAGCAGCCGCGGUAAUACGGAGGGUGCAAGCGUUGUUCGGAAUUACUGGGCGUAAAGAGCGUGUAGGCGGUUUGGCAAGUCAGAUGUGAAAGCCCUGAGCUUAACUCAGGAAGUGCAUUUGAAACUGCCUUACUCGAGUAUGGGAGAGGAGAGUGGAAUUCCCAGUGUAGAGGUGAAAUUCGUAGAUAUUGGGAGGAACACCCGUGGCGAAGGCGACUCUCUGGACCAAUACUGACGCUGAGACGCGAAAGCGUGGGGAGCAAACAGGAUUAGAUACCCUGGUAGUCCACGCGGUAAACGAU